GUGGGGAAUAUUGGGCAAUGGGCGCAAGCCUGACCCAGCAACGCCGCGUGAGGGAAGAAGGCUUUCGGGUUGUAAACCUCUGUCCUUGGUGACGAAAAAAAUGACGGUAGCCAAGGAGGAAGCCCCGGCUAACUACGUGCCAGCAGCCGCGGUAAUACGUAGGGGGCGAGCGUUGUCCGGAAUUACUGGGCGUAAAGGGUGCGUAGGUGGCCUUUUAAGUUGGAUGUGAAAUACCCGGGCUUAACUUGGGGGGUGCAUCCAAAACUGGGAGGCUAGAGUGCAGGAGAGGAAAGCGGAAGUCCUAGUGUAGCGGUGAAAUGCGUAGAUAUUAGGAGGAACACCAGUGGCGAAGGCGGCCUGCUGGACAUUAACUGACGCUGAUGCGCGAAAGCGUGGGGAGCAAACAGGAUUAGAAACCCCUGUAGUCC
rnacentral:rRNA from 1 species